AGGCCCAGCAGCAAAUGAAGUUGGCGGCUGACAAACAUAGAAGAGAUGUGGAAUAUAUGGCAGGAGAUUAGGUUUAUUUGAAAAUGAGGUCGUAUAGGCAUAAGUCACUAGUGGUAUGCUGCUAAGAAGAUUAGCCCCGAGGUACUCUGGACCGUUUGAGGUGUUGGCAAGGGUGGAAAAGAUGGCUUAUCGCUUGCUGCUGCCUGUGUACACCCUGUUUUCCAUGUGUCGCAACUGAGAAAGGUGGUGGGAAAUGCUCCUGUAACGUCUUCCUUGCCCCCCUCAACUUGGUGAAGAUUGGGAGUUACUUGUGGAACCAGAAUUUGUCUUAGGAUUCAGACAGCCAAAUCAGGGUACAGAUGCUAUGGAAGUCUUGAUUCGGUGGAAGGGUCUGUUGCCUAUGGAAGCAACUUGGGAGCCAUUUGACUUAAUCAACCAGCAGUUUCCUUCUUUGAACCUUGCGGACAAGGUGACUGCAUUGGACCCCGGGUUGGGGGGGGGGGGGAUUUGAUAAGCCCCCAAUUAAAUUUACAUAUACAAGAUGUAAGAAGGCCAAGCAAGCACAUGGUGGGGAAAGCCAACAACUUGACAGCAGGGCUCAAUAGGAGUCUCUAGAAGGAUGCUGAGUCUGUAAAAUUGUUAGGGACUGUUAGUCAGUUUGUUAGAGUUACUUGGGGGAAGGGUAUAAAUAAAACAUGUAAGGAGAGGGGAGGGGAUGUGAAAGAAAUCAAGUAAGAAUUAGGGGAAUGGAGAAUCGUAAUUUCCAUUAAGUUCUCAUUUAGAGUACAUAUUUCAUUUUGAAUCUAUAUUACAGAAAAUUUCCCCAAAAUUCCUCAUUCUCAGUAUUCUCUUCUCUAUUGCAGUGAGCCUUAAUAUUGUCUAUCUGGGAAAGAUUUCUAUCCUCUGCUUAAUUUCAAAACUUCACUCUAUCUUACUCCCAGUAUGGUGAAUAAACUACUGUUGGUCCCUAGUGAAUUUGAUUCUUGAAGUGCACAGACUCCUAAGUGGAGAUUUAGUCCACCAUCAGAUUUUCACAACUACUCAAUAUUUGAUAAGUAUUCAUUUGUGUUUUGAAUGUGGAAUUUUCUUUACAGGAGAUGAUAACUAAUUAGCAGUCUGCCUUUAUAUCUAGUAUGAAAGUAUCCUUUUGUGCUGUGAUGGUUGAUUUUUAUCUUCUUGUUAUAUAUAUUGAUAGUUGAUACUUGCAGCCAUUUAGAGACGAAAAAACUCAAGAGGAAUCAAGGAAAGAAAUGACGAAACCUCCUAAACGCCUGAAAAAGUUCCGCUAGGGAUUAAUGUCAACGUCAGGGUGUUGGUUUUUGAAAUCUUACAUGAGUUCAUUUUGCAAGUUGUAGAACGAAUGGUGCUGUUUGUACCCAAUACAAAGUCUUAUUUCAACCAAUGUAUACAGGUGGCAUUGUCGUUUUGAUGUAGUUAAUUUACUUCAUGACACGAGCAGUCGAAUUACUGUUGCGCUCAAGUAUUGUUCAGAAUGCUUCAGUUUUAAAGAUGCUGGAAGAGCAUAAACGAGCACCACCACCGCCCUGCGUUUCAGUAAUAUUGAUUAAUUUUUGUAUUGUGUAUCAUCAUUAUAAAAUGGCAAAAUGAGGUUUAACUUGCAUUUUUGUUGACUUAAAUGGUAGUGUAUCUUAUUAGUAGACAAGAAUAAAUUCGGGCUUAAUCGCCUCACUUUUCUUGUUAUUUGCAGUUUAAGUUAGAUUGCCUUUCCAAAUUCUUUUGUCCA